GCUCUCGUCUUUCAACGGAUAGGAUAGCUCCCUCCGAAGGAGCUGAUGACGGUUCGAUUCCGUCCGAGAGCA
rnacentral:tRNA from 1 species